rnacentral:rRNA from 1 species
GACGAACGCUGGCGGCGUGCUUAACACAUGCAAGUCGAACGGAAAGGCCCUGCUUUUGUGGGGUGCUCGAGUGGCGAACGGGUGAGUAACACGUGUGUAACCUGCCCUUGUCUUUGGGAUAACUUCAGGAAACUGGGGCUAAUACCGGAUAGGAGCUCCUGCUGCAUGGUGGGGGUUGGAAAGUUUCGGCGGUUGGGGAUGGACUCGCGGCUUAUCAGCUUGUUGGUGGGGUAGUGGCUUACCAAGGCUUUGACGGGUAGCCGGCCUGAGAGGGUGACCGGCCACAUUGGGACUGAGAUACGGCGCAGACUCCUACGGGAGGCAGCAGUGGGGAAUAUUGCACAAUGGGCGGAAGCCUGAUGCAGCAACGCCGGGUGCGGGAUGACGGCCUUCGGGUUGUAAACCGCUUUCGCCUGUGACGAAGCGUGAGUGACGGUAAUGGGUAAAGAAGCACCGGCUAACUACGUG